rnacentral:rRNA from 1 species
UACGUAGGUGACAAGCGUUUGUCCGGAUUUACUGGGCGUAAAGAGCGCGGCCAGGCGGUCGAUCAAGUCGAGUGUGAAAGCCCCCGGCUCAACUGGGGAGGGUCAUUCGAUACUGAUCGACUCGAAGGCAGGAGAGGGUAGUGGAAUUCCCGGUGUAGUGGUGAAAUGCGUAGAUAUCGGGAGGAACACCAGUGGCGAAGGCGACUACCUGGCC